rnacentral:rRNA from 1 species
UACCAGCACCCCGAGUGGUCGGGAUGAUUAUUGGGCCUAAAGCAUCCGUAGCCGGUUCUACAAGUCUUCCGUUAAAUCCACCUGCUUAACAGAUGGGCUGCGGAGGAUACUAUAGAGCUAGGAGGCGGGAGAGGCAAGCGGUACUUAGUGGGUAGGGGUAAAAUCCGUUGAUCCAUUGAAGACCACCAGUGGCGAAGGCGGCUUGCCAGAACGCACUCGACGGUGAGGGAUGAAAGCUGGGGGAGCAAACCGG